rnacentral:tmRNA from 1 species
AGGCUUUUUUCCUCAAUCACAAACGCCUAUAUUGGGCGUGCCGGUUCGCCGGCUAUGGAAAUAAAUGGCUGUCGCAAUAAACCAUUCGGACCCGGGGGCAGCACCCGGCGCCUCCACCAGAAUGCUUUGGAACCCGAUUUCCGAGCAUUCCGGCGGGGGCGAAACAGGAUCGACGAGGGCGUAAAGGGCUCGCUUUUUCCCGGUAUUGUUCCGCCGUUAUCGGGCUACAGCACUAGUUGCAAACGACAACUAUGCUCCGGUUGCUCAGGCCGCGUAAGCGGUUUGAAAGACCACUUUAAAGCCCUGACGGGUUAAGCUCCGUCAGGCGGGGUUCGGAGGCACCUGGCAACAGAAGCCUCCACU